UCGUCUGUCGUCCGUGUGAAUCUGUCAUAAGUGUCAUACCAUUCUUUCAUUUUCUUUACAUAUUCAAGGUUGUCAAAAUAUUCAGAUUUCUAAAAGGAUUAUUCGUUUUAUUUAGUAAUAUUUAAAUCUCACCCAGUAGGUUGUAUUCAGAUUGUUAAAAAAACUUCUAACUUAAUUCCAGUGUCUCAUUAACUUAAACUAUGGUAAAAUACGUGACAAUUUCGGUUCUAAACAAAAAUUGUAUUAUAUUAUGUUUCAUUUUAGGUUUAACACAAGCCUAAACAACAUGAAGUGAACAAUAUUGUAUACAGAGAUGUCAGUGAUCUUCAGGCCAUGUGGUUGCGGACUGCUAGUAUCUGGUGGUGGAUGACUAAUUUGCUUAUCUCUUUAUUCUGGUGAAGGGAUUCUUGAAAUUACUGAAGCCAUUACUUGAGAUCAUGUUAAUCCCAAACACAAUUUAAUAUGAGUGUCAGCAGUGCAAGUGAAGAAAUGCUUCAAGUGCCGUUCCCGAGGAGACCUAGGCAGCUGUAAGGAUCCAUUCCUCUACGGCAAUGUGACAACCUUGAACCCUGGGGCGGGG